rnacentral:lncRNA from 1 species
GUAAAUUGCCUUUCUCUUGGUUCUUACAUGCCCGUCAUCAGUCCCCGGAUUUUAGAUGUGUGUAGAGCCCCAAAGUCCCCAGGGAAAACUCCUGAAAAAGAGGGCGGGGGGAACCCUGGAAAUCAUAAUUGAGAGAUUGAUCCAGGGGAACUACCAUCCUCAGAUGCUUAGCAAUAAAAAGCUGGGGGGGGGGAGGGGGGUUACCUAAGUCAAUUCCAUUUUGUGCUCUUUGAAAGCAUUUAUCUGGAGAUGCGUUUUGACUUUGGUUUUAUAACUGGCACUUGGAAUAAUAUUUGUGUAUGUAGCUGAAGCAUCUACAGGGCCCUUUUCUUUGCAGGCUGUUUUUCAUUCUACAUUUCUUGAUGAAAAUUGGAUGCAAAUAGCAACAAAUAUAGUGGUAACAGCAAAAAGAUAGUGGUAACUCCGUAAGGAGGUGAUUGAGAGCCCGGGUGUUGGAACCAGAGUGGCUGCAUACGCAGCCUGGCUCCCUUGCUUACUCGCGAUGAAACCUCUGGCAAACUGUAUAAUGCCUCUAGGCCCCAGUUCCUCAUUUGUCAAGUGGGGAUAUAGUAUUACUUACCUCAAAGUAUUGUUGCAAGGCGUAAAACAACAUAAAGCAUUAAGAACUCAUCAGGCACAUAGUAGACACUAAGAAAUACCUGUUAUUUCUAUUGAAUUAAAUUGUUUUUUUGGGUUUUGUUUUUUAGAAUAAUCAAGGGCCACAAUUAGACAUAAUAAUUGGAAAAUUUGUUCUGGUAUUUAUUCUCUUUUUUCCUUUGAGGAAGAUUAGCCCUGAGCUAACUGCUGCCAAUCCUCCUCUUUUUGCUGAGGAUGAUUGGCCCUGAGCUAACAUCCGUGCCCAUCUUUCUCUACUUUAUAUGUGGGACACCUACCACAGCAUGGCAUGCCAAGUGGUGCCAUGUCCGCACCCGGGAUCUGAACCCAGCGAACCCUGGUGUGCCAAAACAGAAAGUGUGAACUUACUGCGCCACCAGACUGGCCCCAUGGUAUUUAUUCUUUUAAUAAGUUACUCUUUUUCCUUGAAUGCUCACAUCAACCAUAUUCUGAGCAUAAAUAAGCAUUAAAUUCAAGGAACAAUGAUAAGAGGCUGAAAAUAUAGGUUCCUGAAAGAGGUAAAUAAAGAAAACCAGUGGAGACGAUCAAAAUGAAGCAACAAUCACAAAGGACAACAGAUUUUAUUUCCU